GUAGGUGGCAAGCGUUGUCCGGAAUUAUUGGGCGUAAAGCGCGCGCAGGCGGUUCUUUAAGUCUGAUGUGAAAGCCCACGGCUCAACCGUGGAGGGUCAUUGGAAACUGGAGAACUUGAGUACAGAAGAGGAAAGCGGAAUUCCACGUGUAGCGGUGAAAUGCGUAGAGAUGUGGAGGAACACCAGUGGCGAAGGCGGCUUUCUGGUCUGUAACUGACGCUGAGGCGCGAAAGCGUGGGGGGAGCAAACAGGAUUAGAUACCCUGGUAGUCCACGCCGUAAACGAUGAGUGCAAGUGUUAGGGGGUUUUCCGCCCCCUUAGUGCUGCAGCUAUCGCAUUAAGCACUCCCGCCUGGGAGUACGGCCGCAGGCUG
rnacentral:rRNA from 1 species